rnacentral:misc_RNA from 1 species
GAUGAAGAACGUAGCGAAAUGCGAUAAGUAAUGUGAAUUGCAGAAUUCAGUGAAUCAUCGAAUCUUUGAACGCACAUUGCGCCCCUUGGUAUUCCGAGGGGCAUGCCUGUUCGAGCGUCAUUAUAACCCCUCAAGCUCAGCUUGGUGUUGGGGCCUGCUGCACUGGCAGCCCUUAAAAUCAGUGGCGGCGCCAUCUGGCUCUAAGCGUAGUAAUUCUUCUCGCUAUGGAGUCCUGGUGGAUGCUUGCCAUCAACCCCCAAUUUUUCUAUGGUUGACCCCGGAUCAGGUAGGGAUACCCGCUGAACUUAAGCAUAUCAAUAAGCGGAGGA